CGCUGCGAGUGCUGGAGGCAGCAUACGGUCCGUAAGAGCUUCGUUGCUGUCUGAAGCCGCCGGCGAACACGUAUCGCGUCACGUUCGCACUCUCGCCGUCAGUCGGGUGUUGGAUUUGUGCAGACACGCGCUUGAUGUAUAAGGCGAUGAAACACAAUGAAUAGAAACAGAACAAAAUUAUAUAUCCAGUAAAGAAGAACGUAAAAUUUUUGUUCUAUGUUAUGUUCUGCGUUUAGUUGAGGAAACUGUGAGUUUGAAUACUGGUGCAUGUGCUUCAAAUGUUUCGUUACAGUCCAUCGCCAAAACCCACUUCAACUUCCGAAUAGAAUAACACUAGAACAGACAUUUUUCUAUUUGAUGAUCCAAAGGGUAGCCUUAUUAAGAUAUUAACACAGAAAAAUUCGAGAAAAAAAUCUGUUACAAUUAUUAUUUCGUCGUAUAUUAAGAAUUAAGAACUUAUAUCGAACUGUAAGGUGCUAAGCUAAUUUGCUAUGAUAUUAUGUUGGAAAUAAAAGCCACACUAUGUAUUUCGUUUACUAAUUCAGAUGUUUUAAAACUGUGAUAUAAAGACUUCACGCUUCCACGUGUUGAAUGUUGUGGUCGCAACUCUGUACGGCUGUUCGUGGGUAUGUUACUUUCAGUGUCACGUCCUCAGACGCGAAGCCUAUAAAAACAGAGGUGCUGCGUAAUAGACGCGCGUCUUAUAAACUUCUCGUUAGCGUCACAACAUUUGUAUCGUAAAUCUAAAGAUCUAAAGUAGCUUACUUAAUGACCAAAGUGUCGUCAUCAAUAGCAUCUGUAACUCCCUUCCAUAAGCGCACUACAGUCCUAGAAACUCUCUCUUAUAAAGACGAUCUGCCUUCCUGAGACGUAAACGUAACUUUGUAGUGUCUCGCAUGGAUUAAUUAGAAUCUCGCCUGUAUCGAAGGACGCAUUAUCAGACUGAAUUUUCAUAGGACCAAGCGGGACCUAGUUGGUGUCUCAUCCGUGGAGAGUACAUGCAAGUUUGUACUUUAAUGAACGUUUUAGCUAAUGAAAAGUGUGAAAUGAAAUCAUAUUUUUCCGUCAAGUGAAAAUAAGUGAAUCAUCAAAACAGUGUUGGUGAUAUACGUGCAGGCCUCCACGCCCGACCCUGGUGUUCACAUAGUCGCGUGUUGAAAACGACAUUGCCCUCUCAGUUAACACGACGACUUUGGAUAGCGGAACAUAUCCUGAGCCGUUACUUCAGAGAGUGAAACCACAAGCAACUCUGACCACAGCGACUAUGGACCGAGCCAUUGAGAGGAAGACGCUGUUUAUCGGUGGACAAUAACAUUAAAACUGUCUUUAUAACAAAACACUGUAACUGUAUAAAUUCAAAACAGUUAGGCCUCCUGUUUAAUUAAUGUCAAGUAAAGGUAUGUGAAGUUCGAAACAAUAUUCUGCAUUAAAAUUAGCUAAACAUCAUCAUCAAAAAGUUAUAAGAAACUAAAACGUCUAUACAAUGCAUUGGUAUAGCUUCUUCAUUGUUUUUCGUCGUACACAGUGUUUAAAAUCGUGAGAAAUAAGGCGACUUAAGAACACUGUAAUGAAGAUUCAUCUACUGCACAUGAAAGCAAAAGGAAAUUUCCAUUGAAUAAUUCGUAAUCAAGACUCAAUACGAAAUAGAUGUAUCACGGCUAAGUGGACUGUGAAAUUGAAUAAGUUGUUUCAGCUGCUGCGGUUUCCUGUUGCUAAAAGACAGAGAAUAUAUAACAAGACGCUUACUAUCUUGUCUUCAAUCCUGUAACAAAAUUACAACCCACGAUUUAUCAUUAUCAUUUUCCAGCAAAUAAGGAAGUGUGAAAGUUUGCCAGUGUUACAGUAACAAACUUCCAUUGUAUAAAACAAAAAAGCAAUGCUGCAUUUGUGUAUUUAAUGUUCAUAAGUGUCGACGCUUUUUACAGUGAAAAAUAUUUACAUUUCUGCAAAAGCAGAAUAAGGCCGUAACGGGGUCUCCUGAUGGGAGAAGUGACUCUUAAUUGUGCGAUAACACGAUUAAAAUGUAAUGUUUGUGCAUAAUUAAAGUUAAAACACUUAAAGCACUUAAACUUCAAGUGCUAGGAGUUUAUCUUAGAAAGUGACAAAUUAGUCUGACAAAUAAGAUUAUUCCCAAAUGGUGUUUACCAAUUUUGUUGUAAGGCACAAUAGCAUCUACUCUCAAGAUGUGUUUGCAAGUCCUUGAAUGCUCUGUUAACCCUAUGAGUCAGUUCCAAUAUGAUAUGGUUCCUUGGUAAAUGAAUACUUUGAAUGCGAUAUAAGCAUGAGUGAUUCCUUAAUUACCGCUAUUUUCUUAGUUCUCUCUGAAGACUGAACUUAAUUAUAAGCUGAAGCAAACUGUAUUUAAAAGGAAAGGAUAAGAUUAUUAAUAAGGCAAUUACCUCAGACUACAAUAACAUGUCUCGGAAACGUAUCGAGUAUAGAAUUUGUAAAUCAUUUGGUACAAAACGUUUUAUUUUAAUCUUACGUAAUAAUGACUGUUCUGAAUCAAUAUUUGUAUAAUUUUAUUGACAUACUGUUCUCGAAACACCUGAAUAAUAUUUUCCGAACAAGUGGCCGUAAUUUUAUUUAUAAAAAUUUAACAUUAUUCGCAAAUAUCAAACACAUUCACAUACUUAACAGUGAACAGCAAGCACGUCAAUUACAUAAAGCGGUGUUAAUUUGUAACUCUCACACAAAUAUAUUUACACAAAAUCACAAAGAAGUUUUGAUGCACAAUUAAGAGACUAUAUAUGGAAAGUCAGCGACCCAGCAAAAUGUAUUCAUAUCAGUGUGAAAGUGUUCAGUAGAACAACAAUUCCUGUUGCUGUACAGUGAGCAAAUUAUUUACACGAUCCUUAUCACGACAAACCCAGUUUCUCCAUCUUUCAUUGACGUUCAGCACACUAUUAUAUUAUUCUCGUUUCCGCAGAUUUCACGGUUAAAACAACCAUUAAUAUUUUUCUUCUUUUAAAAAGAUAUGCUUUAAUACACGACGAAUUUCUUACAUUUACUCUUCGAACCCAUGGGAGGAAGCGUAUUUUGAAAGAGUUCUAAAUUGCUGAAGUUGUUAUAAAGCCAAAACUGUACUACAACAUGGGUACCUCGGAAACGGUCACAUCACCACCUCCUCUGGGUGUCGGAAUUGGUGGACUCCGGUAUCGUGCGUGUGAAAAUAUCACUGCCAACUUGAGUGAGUUCGGUGCCUUCUGCUCCAACGCAACUGAAAGCACAAAAAGUUUUGGACUUGAUCCAGCUCCAGAACAAGAGUCACUUGUUAUGAUCCAGAAAAUUGUCUCCAUUGUCGUCCCUAUUCUCUUCGGACUCAUCGUGUUGGUCGGGCUCUUCGGAAAUGCUCUGGUGGUGCUGGUAGUGGCUGCCAACCAGCAGAUGCGGAGCACUACGAACCUGCUUAUCAUCAACUUGGCUGUGGCUGACCUCUUGUUCAUUGUCUUCUGCGUUCCCUUCACUGCCACAGACUAUGUGCUACCCUUCUGGCCGUUUGGAGACGUCUGGUGCAAGAUUGUACAAUAUCUCAUCGUCGUUACUGCGUACGCCAGUGUCUAUACGCUUGUUCUCAUGUCUCUAGAUCGAUUCAUGGCUGUGGUACAUCCAAUCGCUUCCAUGUCGAUACGCACGGAACGCAAUGCCAUAGCCGCCAUUGCAGUGACGUGGGUAGUGAUCCUGCUUGCUUCCGUGCCGGUGUACCUGAGUCAUGGCGAGAUCACCUACACGUAUUCCUCCACACAGCACACCGCAUGCGUGUUCCUGGAGGCCGAUCCCGUCAAUAGACCGGAAGGUUACAACAAACCCGCCUUCCAGAUCAUCUUCUUCGCCACAUCCUAUGUGACGCCCCUGGCCCUAAUCUGCGGCCUGUACCUGUGGCUGCUGUUGCGUCUGUGGCGUGGGGCGGCUCCUGGAGGCCAUGUGUCGGAAGAAAGCCGCAGGGGGAAGAGGAGGGUCACCCGCAUGGUCGUCGUCGUUGUCGCUAUCUUCGCCGUCUGCUGGUUCCCGAUACAGCUGAUCCUGGUACUGAAGAGUGUCGACAGGUACGAGAUCACCAACACCAGUGUUAUGAUCCAGAUAGUGAGCCAUGUGUUGGCCUAUAUGAAUUCGUGUGUUAACCCGAUCCUAUACGCCUUUCUUUCGGAUCAUUUCCGUAAAGCUUUCCGCAAAGUCAUGAACUGUGGAAACGCCAAGAACACUCAGCUCGGAUCUCGGUACCAUCGGGGAUCCGCCGUACAAGGUCAAGCUAACGGCCGUGGUCCCAACAUCAAAAGCUGUCACGAAGACGACAACAAAAGCGCCCUACUCAACGUCAGCAAGACAACCCGCCUUAACGGCAACAGCAGCAGGGAUAUUUUCUGAGACACGUUACCGUUUCAACGUCAGUGAUGUGAACGUACAUUUCCGUACAUGUGACAGCAGAAGCGUCAAUGAUUAAUCUUAUCAUCAGUGACAUAUAGGAUACCUGUUGGUUUUCUUUUGUGAACCUGUUUCCCAGUGACAUAUUAAAUUUCCCGGUGUUCACGAAUAAUUAACAUAAAUAUCAUCAUCAUCAUCAUCAUCACAUACUUACAGGUAUGAGAUCCUUCUACCUGUCCCGAUUUUCAACUCCAUCAGAGCACAGAUGUUUAACAUGCGUUCAAUACAGUAAUAUUAUUACAGAUAUUCUUGUAAUAAAAAACCAAGAGAUUCUAGUAAUUUCUGAAUGUACCUCCCCACCUACAAUCUGCAUGUUCUGAAAGAUGUCAAUGUACUUCUUGGGCCUAUAUCGUGAAAAUCACUGAAGUGUACUCUCUGCAGUUUACGAUUCUCAAAGAAUAGCGUGCUCAUAUAUCCGUGACACUACCUGUUUAGUGUAUUGACUUAUGUUUCAAUGGUAUUGACAUUUUUAUGCCCAGAACUGUAUCAUCUUUUGGGGUUGAGGAAUCACAAUGAAAGAUGAUUCGGAAUAGUGUUUCUGUGUAGCAGGUACAGGCAUAUAUAUAAAUUUUCCCGCGCAUCUGUGAACUAGAAUUAAACUGAAUAUUCACAAACGCUACUGAAUGAGCUUGAUAAAUGUAUUCCAGGAUCAUUUGUGACAACUUAAAAUUACACGAAGAGUUAAUAGAAACAAUUAAUCAAAUGAUAACUGUAUAAGCCUACAUGAUUGAUGAAGAAGUGAAUUUAUAUGAUUUAUUAUAGUUAUUUAACGUCAGUGAAAUCAAAUAUCAAGAAGCAGUGUACACAUGAACAAAUGAACAGUACUCAUGCCGCGUAGGAAUCCUCUCUGUUUUAACAUCUAGACAUAGUCCCAAUCAUAUGAUGACGAUUCAGUAAAUACAAUGCAGUAGUGAUUGAGUGCUUUAGACUAAUGGAUAACAAAGAGCGAUGACAGACACAUACUUGAAAAUCUCUCUUUUACUCAAUCACUAAAAUAUUAUAUACUUAUAUAUGCCUAUGUGAGAGACAAUUUCAGACUCCAUAUAAAUUAGGAGUAUGAUUAAUUGUGCUGUUCAUGAAGUUCCCACUUCAAGUAAACACUGUUUAUUUUGGAAUGAAGGCCUAAUUUCCAAAACUUCUUAAACUUUUCGACAUGUAAUUUUAUAGUGAUAUAUACAGCAAGAAUGAAUUGUCAACUCAUGAAGAGAAGAACUUCAGCAUUCCUCUUUUUUGUGGACAUUAAGGUCUGGCUCGGAGAAAUUUCUGGCAUCUCCUGCUCUUGGACAUGCAGACAAGGAACAUCAGAUCCAGCCCUACAGAGCGCGCACAUCGCAGUGUCCUGAGUGAAAGCAGGAGGAACUACCGUCAGCCUCUCGCCCAUUAAUCCUCAGGGAGAAACUACAGAACAAGAUGGCAUGCUGCAAAUUUUUCUAAGAGACAUCUUCAUUUUUAAAAUAAGACCAAAAUGUACAAAACCUGCUUUAAAUUGGCAAGCAAAUUUAGCUCACCUACUGGAAAUGGGAGAAAAUGCUAUUGGGUGUGGAGUAAAGAGAAUUUAAAUAAAGUAACUGUACAGACAUCCCUGAAUAAAUUGGAGCUGUAAAUCUGUAUCUUACUUCAUCGUCGAUGUGUUUAGACUGUCAUGUAAAAUUAUUUGCCUAUAUCAGUAACCAGUUUUCUGAGGAUCUCAUGAUAGCCCAGAAUCGGAAAACCCACCUCCGUGUUCACAAAUGCCCGCCACUGGACAUCUUCUCUCUGCCUAUGAGGAUUUAUGUAAGAGCCUAAAUUUCAUUGUGAGGUGUUUUACUCCUCCCUCUACCAUACAUCAAGCUGGAGGACUGGUCUUGACUACUGCUAAUUCCUUAGGCAGUACUCACUGCUACCCUACACUGUUGGAGGUAGCGUCCUCCGUCCGCAAUCUGGGGCCAUGCCUAGCUAGGGUGACGGGGGGCCACCAUAUGACUGCCAUGCGAAUUGCUAUCUUCUUAGUAAAACCUUUUUUAACUUUGAAACACUAGCAUUAACUACCACCACAUUCUCGUCGUGGCCGUCGUCGUCGUCAUCAUCGUCAUCAUCAUCAUCAUCAUCAUCAUCAUCAUCAUCAUCACCAUGAACUAUGAUGGAUUAGACUGACUUCCUUGAUUCCAGAAUCUCUAGGUGUAGGCGGUAUCCCCAUUAAAUAUUCCGAACGUAAGGCCUCUUGGUUCCUAUAAUUUGUGCUCCAGUGCCUACUUUGGAAUUCUGUUUUUAUAACCAGAAUAAAGUAACAUCUUCUUAGCAAAAGAAACGCCGAACGAGUGAUCAGUACUCCUGCGUCUUAUUCGGGAGGCUUCAGUUCAAGUAUAGCCCCAAAAGUACAACUACCAAAAAGGACUUUUGUCGUUUGUCUUAGUUCCUCGUGGAAAAAACGGGGACAGUACCUCAAGAAGGCCACGACAUCUUUCUUCAGUAAUGUACCUAUUCAGCCAGAGGUACAUUUCGGGAAGCUGAUGCUUGUUAAUCAUAUCAAAUGGUCAGAAGUUCUCAAACCAAACGUUACGUAGAAAGGUUCGGUCUAGCAUGCUGAAAUAUCAAUCCUCUUUAAGACUGGAGAAGUCGCGAGUUUCUCACUCGAGCAGUAAGAGCAGAAGAGAGCAAAGUGUAAAUCAAUACCUCUAACCACAAUUAUAGUGCUGUGUACUGUGAAGGGAUAGAUGUGUGCUUUGAUGAAAUGUGUAUGAUGGAAUCUGCAGUUAGCUAAUAUGAUCGAAAUACAAUCAUUCAGGUACUGAAAACAAAACAAUGGGCAGGCGUCUACUUUUCCUCCAAAUUCUAGGUAUUUUUUUUAUUGCUAGUGGGGUGGGACUAAGUCGCUUGUACUGCGGCCACU